GGGGAGUCUAAGCUUCAAAAGGAAAUUCCAGCACUUUUAGUCUCUUGGUGACCUUUAGGUUGUAGCCCCCUGCAGUGGGACCCACAGACACAGGACUCUAAGCAGAGGACCAACAGCUGCUGUGUGCUCAUCUCCAGACAAAAAUAGGAAUCUGAAGUUUGCAGAACCUUAGAUCCAGUGAAUUGUGGGCGACAUGUUACCCUGAAAGAUUUUGGGAACUGGGCAAGCUUUCUGCCUGGCGUUAGAACUAGCAGAAACUUCCUGGGAUUCUUCUUGACCGGUCUCUAGCAAACCAUAAAGGAUGUGUCCUCUGUACUCGCCAACAGCAUAGAUGUAAUGGUACCAAAUGCAGUUUGGGAAGAUUUCCAGCGCAGUCAAAGAAGGCAGAGGAGAUGAAAGACAUUCAUGAGUAGAGUUGAAGUUCCAGAGAGAUAAAAAGAGGCCUGAGAACCUUAAAGUGGGGCUAAUUGAAAAAUUUCCCUUUAAAGGGACAACUCAGGAUAUCAUGUUUUCUUUUAUCCUUUCUCUUCUUUAAGUACAUGCUGAGAGACACUAUUCCCACGCCUUCCCAAAUAACGCUAAUACGCCCGUGGGAUGAAAUGAAAGCGCUCAGAUGAUUGCUGCGGAGUCUGCACAGAUUCUUUGUAGAAAGAAGCCACUCUUUUUCCUGGCUUCCACUCAUGGGUUUGUUAAUCAUCGUGUUUAACUUGGAAUCAAACACGAGGGCACCAAUGUGUAGCAUUUUGAACUGCCUCACCAGCUCUGUGUUAUUUCCAGACCUGGUCUUACUGGGCAUAAAUAGAACUUUCUUUUCCCUCAGUCCCAUAUAGCUACUUGCUAGAUUGUUUUGUCUAUACACCGCUCUAAGCACCAGGGCCAUCAGUCAAUGCAGGGUGGGUCCAGGCCACCGAAACCUCCGCAGCGGUGGAGAGAAGCGCUAGAGAAGGCUGUGGAACCAAUAAGCAAUGGACUGUGUUCACAGUGCUGUGGCUGUAUACCGAUGUUGCUGUUACCAAGACACCCUUCUCUUGGAUCUGUGUGAUCUAUAGUCUUUGCAUGCCAAAUCUGGCUGACCAGGUUUAAAACUAAAGUUAAAACCCUAGGUAUGAACUUUCCAUCCAUUGUGACAGCUAGCUUUUAAGGAAAGGAGACUUUCCAUGAGAUUUUUGUCCCCGGUGAGAUUUUGUUGGUUGUUGUGCUGAGUCUUUAGAAAGGCAACUGGCAAGAGUUUUGUGGUUUUAGAGAGCUCCGUUCUUUCUAAGUGAAAAAAGUAGGAAAAUUGACUCUGUGAUCAGAAAGCUGCUGAAAAAAAAAUUCCAUUUCCUGAAUGACCAACAUCUCGUUUCCACUUGAAGCGUUCAUUCCUAGGCAGUUGCGGAGUUGACACAGAGCUGUGUGCAGCGGCCCCCUCAAAUCUGAAGGUGAUUCCAAGCACCGGCAGAUCUGGGUGCACCCAGGAAUGAAGGAACAUGGCUCCUUUCCAAAUGACUGGCAGGCCUCGUGUAAGAGAAUUAGUUUAAGCGAGAGUUUCCC
rnacentral:lncRNA from 1 species